GUCGGACGUCGUCCUAGAUAGCGUUCUCGUUUUCAGGCUCUGCUGUUGGUCUCACCAGAGAGGCCUUCAGACGACAAAGAGGGAGCUUCUGACUGGAAACUGGAGACGGAGAUGUUCCGCGUGGAAGGUGGGAUCGCAUUCCGCACGAUAUCGGAGCGGACGGGUAACUUCUUCACAAACAACUCAAACACAGAAGACACGGAAUUCAAAGUUCAACAGUUGUUCCCUUUGGUACCAGAUUGAUGCAUCACGACAUAAAACAGCUCCAGCGAUCGGGACGUGAUGAAGGUUUACGUUAUUAUAUUUUCCACAUUUGGAAAUUAUCAUUGGCCUGGAAAAUGAACACGACGCAUCCACAAGUAACCGUUGGUAAGGUCCUCUCUGUGAGCUUAAAUGUUAGUUUACAUUCAAUUCAGACUUAAAGAUUUGGCCAAAAUAUGAGUUCCUAUUGUUGCAAGCGGUUUGUCGAAAAGUUUACAAUUGUAUAUUAUUUUAAAUGUGAAACAUAACAAACAUGAGAGGAAAAUGAGAUGAAAUAAUACACAUUAGUUAUUGAAUGGAACAUGACUCAAAUGAAUAAACUUACCUUACCUGAACUGAAUAAUGAAAAGUUCAAACAUUUUAACGUUCUUUGCCGUGCAAAGCUCUUUAUUUAUUUCUCACGCGGCUGAAGAUCUGCUUACCUUCACGGAGGGAUUGCAAUCUGUCAGACGCGUGCAGAGAGAACCGAGGAGCCUUUUCGUCAGCGUUU